GGACUUUUCUUUUCCCAAAUGUUGAGGAUUUUUGGUUUGAAGUUGAUCUUCCAUGUGUUUUAAAAGCUUAAAAAAAAGCAGGUUAAACAACCUGAGAGUAAAACAAGGUAUUUCAUGUGAAAAUGAUUUUUUUUAUUUUUUAUUUUUUUUCCCAGAGUGAAGGUCCAGUGAGAGCUGGGAGGACUCACAGCUGAUGGGCAUGAGGACGGGAGCACAGGUUGGGCUCGAGCCGGGAGGACGUGUGGCCAAUGGGUGUGAGGACGGGGACACACGGGUGCGUGGGACACUCUCCCCAGGCAGGAGGAAGGUUGCAAGCAGAGGAGGAGGCACACAGGCACAGUGCAGAGCAAGACCACAGCCCAAAGGGGCAGCCACCAGCUUGUGCAUGGUGUUGCUGUUGACAUCCCCUCCCCUGACAGCCAAACACUGGGACCAGCUGUGUACUUGUCUUUCAUCCCAUACUCCAUUGGGCUGUUGCAAUUACUUUCCCAAGCUGGGCUGAAUCAUUAAAGGAUUAAGAAAAUCUUUGAGAAGAUGACUGGGGGACUGAUGGAAAAUGACUGUUUUUAACAUUAACUGUUACACCAAGCUUCAGCUCCAUUUUUCUUCCCAUUCAAGCUGGAGUUGUCAGACUUCAGCCGGUCCUUUUGUUUCUAUUUACCCUGCUCCCUGAAUGUGCCAGCAGAAGAUGAAUGUAACAAAGUACCAACUUUCAUUAAAUGUGCUGAUUUACCUGGGAAACCUGGAACCCCAAUGCAUUGACAGGAGGUCUGGGAGAUGCCCUCCUGUUGACAGUGAGAUCUCUUGCACGAUUCAUCCUGAACAACCAUUAAUGCAUUUAGCACAGUGGCUUUUAGCGUCAUGAACUCAAGGACCACUACAACUUUUCCAACAGCAACACAGCUGAAGAGUGUUGAAUGGCAGAAAGGAAAUUACUUUUCUUUGUAACCUUUUCAUGAGUCUAUGCAAGUAGUUGACAGACCCUCAGGCCUCAAGGACCACAGUUUGAAAGUCACUAACUUAUCAAACUACGUAUGAAGAACGCUUCAUCUAACUUCUCUGGGUGAGAAUUAAAUUUUGCGAGUGGCAAAAUUUCAUGCAGAUAUAGGAGGAGAUAAGAAGAUACUGACACUGCAGUGGAAAUUUGGAUAUUCUUGACAGAGACGGGGAGCUGUUCUCUGCAGUAAAAUCUUUCCUCAUGGUGAGCUGAGCCCUGGCUGUGGAUCCACAAAAAGCUGCCUAAGGAGACAAACCUGGCUCCUUCACAUCAUUUCCAGCUGAGAAGCAGAACAGAUGUGGUAUUGCUGACCCCAGACAUUCAGAGCUUAUGAGUCUGCUCUCCAAAUUCAAACAAAAAUAUUAAAUGUUGAUCUCUUUUUGCUUGCCUUCUGGGUCUGGAACCAGUAGGUUACUCUCAAAUAACACUCAAAGCCUUUAUUUAUUUUUCCCCCAAGCCACAAGAACUAGAACAUUUCUGCUCUCGUCAUAAACGGAAAGCUGAGAGUCUUGCUGAAUCACUUGUCUCCAGGAAUGAGAUCUUUGAGGAAAAUACCCAGCAUCAGGAAGUUUGCAGUGUACUCAUGAGACCUGGCAAUGCUGCCAGGAGAUGAAACCAAAAAUGAUGUCAUACAGCCUUGUCAGGAAGGACAACAUAAGGAUUGUAUUUGAGGAGCAUACACAAUCCUGGUCUAAGAGCAGGACUCUGUGAUUGUGACCGUGUCAUAUGUCUUGUGAUAGUCUAAUGCUGUGGGAUGUCACAUCAGCCAGUAAUCACUGAAGCAGGCUUAGACAUAAGCCAAUCCUAGCCUCUUCCCACUCUGCCACAUCUUCCCUUAUGUUUACUUAGAGGUAAACAUAAAGACAACGUCUUCUCAGUGAGGUGUCCCCAAAAGUAAAUACUGUAAGUACCCUUGGGAUAUUGGACCAGUGAUAUGGGGAUGCUGGGAGAGAGGCUGCCUGGAAGGAAGGAAAAGAGGAGAUGAGGGAGGAAGAGCUAUAGCUCAGUGUAGAGACACACAUGGAGGAGGCCAUGCCAUGUCCGCAAGGCAACGUGCACAGCUUCUGUGAGCAAGCUCAAUCUGAUAUGAGAAGCCAUUUGCGGUAGCUCUAGGUCUCAGCCUUGCUCAUCCUCAGCCCUAGACUAAGAGGGAAAAACAUCCUAUUGUGCAAGGAAAGAUACCCCCAGCCAAAUUUUGCUGACAGUUUGGUGUGGUUGGUUACAUGGUGCAGAACCCCACAGGCAGAGCCCUGUAAUGACCUGAUUUCCCUGGGCCAUAAGGUCUCAAAAUCCAGCUACCUGGAGAAGCCUCAGAUGGAAAAGAGAGGGAGAAAAGAGAUGAAAAUAAGGAUGGAGAGAAUGAACCCCCUAUUUUUCUGUUUUCAUGUGUCUUCUCUACCCCCCUUUUCUCCAUUCUUCAGUCUUCAUAUUCUUUCUGGGAGAAAGCUGCUGUUGGAAAACAGAGAGAGAAGACGACAAACACUGCUGUGGAAUUAUUUAACGAGCCAGAAUGAAUUGCAUUUGAAAUCACUUAAAUGGGAUCUGGGAGUAUUUAACUACAGCACAGGAACUUAACAAGAGUGGGAAAGGAUUCUGUGCUAAUUGCUGGCAAUGAUAUACCUAUGGAGAGAGAAUAUGCAGCAAUUAGUAAGCAAGGCUGUAAUUUCAGCCUAAGGUCCCUGCCUGCCUUAGAAUAUGGCAUGGAUUAUCUGCUGGAAGGAAGACAGAGGCCUAGGUCCAUAGGACCAGAGAAACUAGCAGAUGAGGUUCUCAUUAAGAAGUCAUUAACCCAGUUUUUCAUGGAGUGGCAUGCAGGAGAUGGGUCUCGUUAGGACCCAGCUGUCCCUUCAUGCCACCCUAGUUUGACUCUUGACCGCACGUUCCCCAACCUAGAAUGACUCAGAUUCGCAAAACAAAAACAAAAUACAGAACCCAGCUCAGCCCAUGCCUUACUGUUUUACCAGCUUCCUUGCCUGCCUCCAGGCUGCCCAGAUACUACAGGAACUGAUCCCAUCGCCAGGUCCCCCUUUAACCUUGGGCAGCUCAUGCAGCGGAAGGGGGCUGAGGACCAAUUUGCCUGUUUCUUGCAGAGAACUUGGCAACUCCAGGGCAUCCUCAUGUCCUGACAGCCAGAGUUGUUACCAGAUUUGGGGAACCAGCAGGACAAGAGCACUGAGCUGGUUAUCUGCACGUUACAUAGUCUUGCUCACAUCCUCCAUGUGGGCAGAGCCUAGGGAUGAGGACCCUUAGGUUGAGUGAGGUAACUUCAGGGUGCUGGCUGCAGGUGGCAGGGCCACACUGGGAUGGUGGGUGAGAUUUAAGGAGGAUUAAUGAAUGAGGGUGAGGUAAGACUUCUGUGGAGGACACCUUUGCAGCAGCCAGUCCUCCCCAGCUGCACAGGAACCAGUACCCACCAGCAGGCUGGCAUAGAAGUGGUGUGGAUGGAAGAGGAGUCUGGGCUUGAGAACAGGGACUACGGAAGUGUCCAUAGAGGCUAGACCCUGUGGUCCCACUCUGUUGAGCCUGCAAAGCUGUCAAACGAAAGACGGCCAGCAGCAGUAAUGUCCGAAACCCCAACCUGAGCAGAGCCACGCCGAUGGGGGAAAGACUGUCGUUCGAGAUGGGACAGGGUCAUGCUAAUAGCAGCUCUGGGAGGGUGUCCUCGCUGCAGGGGAAAGCAGAAAGCCACCAGCUCUCGGCUGUGCUGCUGACACCGAGCAGCUGCACGCAGCCUCCGCCAGCCUCUGCUCAUUGUUUCCUGGUCCUGCUGCUCCCUGUCUCCAUUCUCUCCCUGUGAUGCCUCUGUCUUUAGCUUUUGUCUUUCAAUCAAUUUUCAUCUCAGUAAUUCCCAUUCAAUGGUUAGUCCCUGAUCUUUCUAAUUGAGAUUAGAGCUUCAUAUAAUAGGGAGGGGAGGAGGGAGACUAUUUUUAAUUUGCUACGUUCCCAUUAAUAACAAGUUCUAAUUAAAAAACCUCCAUCUCCAUCCUCCCAAGUUCAGAGGAAAAGUCUCUGCAACUUCUGUUGGAAUCUUCUCCUGAUAAAUUGGUACCACAGCCUCCUAGAACAGCUGGUCCUCUUUAGCAGGCAUAGUAAUUAAUGGGAAUAAUAAAUGCAUUCAAAGCAGGUUCGUAACCCUCCUUUCUGUGCACUCAGGCUUCCCUUUGCAUUGCAAGAGACACGCAUCAACAUUUCCACUUGCAAAACAGGCCCAAAAGAGCUGCCUAAGUCUAACAAGCCCAGGUUUCAUUAGCACUCUCUGGCCCAUAAUAAACCUUCUGACACAAAGGAUCCCCAGGGGAAGGGAGGUUCCCUCUUGCCUGGGAAUGAGGCUGAUGCACAGAGCAGGGACGAUAUCGCAGAGUAGCUCUGUGGCCAUUGAGGACCUUGUGCUGGCUAUGAGUUUCUCAUUGCAUCUCCCCAGCUACCACAGGGAGAAAUU